rnacentral:rRNA from 1 species
UACGGAGGGGGAGCUAGCGUUGUUCGGAAUUGCUAGGGCGUAAAGCGCGCGUAGGCGGCUUUGUAAGAUUACGGAGGUCGAAAGCCCGGGAGCUCAACUCCGGAACUGCCUUUAAAACUGCAUCGCUUGAAUCCAGGAGAGGUGAGUGGAAUCCGAGUGUAGAGGUGAAAUUCGAUAGAUAUUCGGAAGGAAACACCAGGUGGCGA